rnacentral:rRNA from 1 species
AGUGAACGCUGGCGGCAGGCCUAACACAUGCAAGUCGAGCGGCAGCGCGUCCGACCACCCUCGGGUGGUCGGAUGGCGGCGAGCGGCGGACGGGUGAGGAAUGCAUCGGAAUCUGCCUCGUUGUGGGGGAUAACGUAGGGAAACUUACGCUAAUACCGCAUACGACCUACGGGUGAAAGUGGGGGACCUUCGGGCCUCACGCGAUGAGAUGAGCCGAUGCCGGAUUAGCUAGUUGGCGGGGUAAAGGCCCACCAAGGCGACGAUCCGUAGCUGGUCUGAGAGGAUGAUCAGCCACACUGGAACUGAGACACGGUCCAGACUCCUACGGGAGGCAGCAGUGGGGAAUAUUGGACAAUGGGGGCAACCCUGAUCCAGCCAUGCCGCGUGUGUGAAGAAGGCCUCGGUUGUAA